rnacentral:lncRNA from 1 species
UUGAUGGGAGUAGAAAUGUGUAGGGGCAUUAUUGUCCAUAUAAAAUAAUGUGCGGAGGGGUAUAAUCGUAAUUUUUUGUUUGCUAGCCCUAGCAGACGGUCGAUUGUAUUCUGCCGUCACCUCCAAUCGCUUCCCACGUCUCCGACGCUCGUGCCCCUCCAUCGCCGCCUCCACCGCCCGUCCUCCUUCCUCUUCACAUUUGCCGCCUCCACCACCCUCGCAGGUCGCAGCCUCCGACGCUUCUCCCGCUGCCGCCGCCGCCGCUCGCCUCCGCAUUGCACAACGCCUCCUCUGCCGGCAGGUGCAGCACUGCCUUUACCGGGCCGUGUCGCAGCCCCUCCGCCGUCGGGCUUAGGGGCUAAGGCUGGCAGCCACCGUCCCCCGAUCCCAUAGCAGCGUUAACCCUCUAUGGCCGGCACUAAAGCAGCACCUCCGUCGCUGAGCAGCGGGCAAAAUGCCCAUCACCACGGAGUAAUUUUUCUAUUCCUGUCAGUAAAUCCCCUCUUUCAGGCUUUCUUUUUUUUUUCUUUUUGAAAACCAAUCCUCUUCUUCAGGCUUUCCAUGUUUGAUCUGCAUUCUAUGGUCUGGACAUGUGUGAUUUGUGCAUGGUUAUUGGCUGAACCACGUAUGGUCAAAGAUCUAUUAAUUUGUAAUUUGUUUGCUAUAUGUAGUCUUACACUUAUUUAUGCCCUGUUUUCACACUUGUUUUCUCACAUCCCUAGAGUUGUAUUAGAUGAAAAGAGAUUUGUACCGCAACAAGCGGUUGAAGAAUCAAAGGUAUGAAACAUCCAAAAGCCCUGUAAUAAUUAUUCCUUUCAUAUAUCUAGUAAUGUAUGACUUCAUUUGCAUUUGCUUCAGCAGUAUAUUUGAUGACCUAGGAAUACAAGCAUGCAAAUAAUAUUUAUCUUCUCUCCGGUAUUUUGAUCUUAUGUGCUAUCUCUUGAUUUUGCAAUUAGUUCAGUUCUCUUGCAUGCCAAGCUAGUGUGCAGUGUACCAGCGAUGCCUUAUUUGAGUUCUGCUUAAUGAACAAAUACUUUUGUUAACGGAGAUUAAUAGAUCCCUUGCUAGCUGUGUAUGUUUUUGAAUUGUCAGUUGUUUUUAUCAACCGAGGGACAUUGUUCUCGGGACAGACAAUAUAUGCUCUAGAAGUCUAUUACAGUGAUUUCUGAAUAUGCCGCCGUCUUAAGGUAACUAUGCCGCAACCCUGUACUGUGUUUCUUUGGUUGUUCUUCUCUCAUUUACAGACAGAGUGAUUAUUUAUUGGGCCCUUCUGUUUGUUUGUUCACGCCAAAUGUCUUUCAUUGUCACACUACACUGGCCAAGGUCACCUGUGACGGGCCCAAACCCUCAUCUUUGACGGCUUCGCGCAUGGUCAGUGAUCAGUGGUCACUGGUGAGUCCAGUCACCUUUGACGGGUGGCCGGCCGUCACAGGUGACACCCACCUCUGACGGGCAAGUUACUAGAAGGCCGUCAGAGGUGUUGGUCUCCGCUAGCCUUGAGCGAGUUAGGACCCGUCACAGGUGACUCAUCUCUGACGGCCCUUUAAAUAAAGGCCGUCAGAGGUUGAGGUCUCCGUAGUUAGAAGCUGUCACAGGUGAUCUACCUGUGACGGCCCCAAAAGUAAAGGCCCGUCACAGGUAGGUCACCUCUGACGGGCCUUUAUUUGCUAGUCCGUCACAGGUUAUGUUACCUUUGACGGAUUUUUGUUCUGACCCGUCACUGAUGAGUUAAUUCCAGAAAAAAAAUAAAUGCUAAAUAUUGGCUAGCCUCAGGAUUUGCUAGCCAUGCCCUCUGAAAAAUAGAAACAUCACAGAUAUAUUCCAGUCACAGAUCCAUCACAGAUACAUCACCCCCCCAAUAUAACAUCACAGAUCCCCAACAACACAUAUAUGCAGUUCAAAUGCCACAAUUUUGCACAGCAAAUUCACACCCCUUGAAAGCCACAAUUUCGGUCGUUGCUCAUAGAACCGCAUAUAUACUUACCAAAUGGAUUAAAGCCAUGAUGUCAUCGACCUGCACAACCUGUCAAUAAGGAAAAAAAAAAGGAGAAAACAGAUGAGACGUACAACAUAAAUCGUAGUUGAUCAAAUGUGAUGACAAUUUAGUAAAGUACCAUAAAUAUUGCACAUAUGAAAGUAAAUUACAUUGCACUCUAUAAAAACAUAAUUUUUUACAUCGCCAGAAAUUAUAAAAACAUCUUUUUUACAUCACAAUAAAUUAUCUAGCCAAGUUCAUGAGUCUAUUUGGCAUGAAAACGUCCUUUCUUGUUCAUUAUUUCUGCAAGAAUAAAGGCACACAAUUCGUCUCUGAUAGCGGGGGGUUGAUGGGUGAGAUCUUGAAGCCAGCUCUACCUUUCUGUUUAAUAAAUAAGAGGUUAAUUAGCACGUUUUGAAUAGCAAUGUAGAUAUUGAAAUGAGCUUAUUCGCCAUUAGCAACAACCUCAGGGUCGAAAUCUUUCACCUCUCUUAGAAGUGUUGACAUGUUGUGGCACACGUGGAAACCACAUUGGUCUCCGAUCUGUUGUGCGCAUGCAAACUUGGUGUCAUGAUAAAGUUCGUUCUUGCCCUCCUUGUGCCUACCACCCUUUUCCACAUAUGGGCCCCAAGCCAUAUUUAAGGCCUUGGUGAUUUCACUGAAAUCAUAAUCUUUGGACUUAUUGGAGUUAAGGUAGGUAACCCUACUCCACUUAGGUACGAUGACUAGGAGAAUCCAAUGUCGCCUGCGCAGUGGUUAUGUAGCGUUAGUACUAAGAACCUUAACUUCAAAAACAAUAUACACGAAGGGUAUUGUCCUCUUACUCUUGGUUGUGUGCGCACAUGAUGUACUCCUUGUCUUGAUGGGCCCAUAAACACCGGUUGACAUAGUCAACCACCUCAGUGGAGCUCUGUUGUAAAUUAACCUCAUUCACCAUGGAUGGAUCAAGGAACCCAACCUGAUUACCAUGGCGACGACUCUCGAUCCAACACAACCUUAAAAUAUUUACGUAUUAGAACUAAUUUAAUUAGGAGAUAUAGUCCAGUCAUAUCACAAGUAUAGAAGGUAUGCACUUACAAGGAGUAGCAUUUUAGAAGACCAGUGUCCAACUUCCGGAUCCUGAAAAGGUCGAAGAGGUCAUCAAAGCCUAUAGUUAUAUAGGCAGGCGACGAUAGGAACGGCUGGUGGUCGUGAUGUCCAACUAUGGAUGACUCCCUCAUUUUCCGCUUGGCAUUGCUUAGCUCCAUGUAUUGCUUAUGUAGCUCUCGGCAAGCAAUACCCAUCACAGCUAACACAUUGUCCUCCACCAAUGGCAUGCCUAGCUCAAAUUGGGCUGGCGCCCUCACGACCUUCCCCGAUUUGCUCACCGGCAUCGACGUCGCAGCCUUGCCCCUUUUUGGCUCCGGCGCCAACUCCCCGACCUUCCCCUUGCCUCGUUCACGCUUCUGGCUCUUGACAAGUGGUGGGGAGCUAUCGGCCUUUCUUGUGGUCUUUAUUGGAGCCAAGCUUUGAGCUAUAUCUGCCAAGUCCAUAUCAGCUCCACCGGGAGAAUGAGGUACUGACAAUGCCGGUCCACGGGGAGCCUCAAUUGAUAGCUUAGACUUGGGAGGUGUAAGCUCCGUCGGUCGACUUGGACGAGGAGUCAUCUUCACAACUAUGUCUUCUUUGGGCCAUUGUAUGAAUGUCUUGCGCGCAUCGCCCAAAGUCAUGAUUUCAUCAUUUGGGGGCACGGGCAGCGGAUAGCCUGACCAGGUGUCCUUUACUGUAUCGAUGGACACCUUGGCAUACCCAGCUAGCAGGUCUGCGCCGUGGACCUUGUCUGUAACCGAGGGCUUGAAAGCCAUGCCCUCAGCGACUUCAGGAGCGAAAGUUGGGUGGACUCUCGCUAGUAGGACACACUGUGCUGCGCCCUGCAUAAGGUGAAAGUUUGAAUUUAAUAUUGGAAUGUGUAAAUGUCUUUUAUUAGAUAUGGAUCGGAUAACAAUAAUUACCUCGAUGUGGUCCACUGCAGCUAGUGGUGCGAUCGGGAGACCAGGGGCCGGCACCUCUGUGGAUGCACAACUACUCCUAUGCUGUGACGGACUCGCGUCGUGUUGUACACGAGGAGUUGGUUGCACAGCAGGUGUUGUGACUCGGGGUAUAUUCAUGUCGGCGAGCACCUUGUUAACCCUUUCUUCCACCCUUGCAUUCAUGCUAGCUUCUAGUUCUUGAAUGACCUCAACCUUAAGUUCGGCCUUCAAACGAGCGUCCCUCUCUUCCUUGGAGACUUUCCGUUUCCUGUAUUGGGAGCUGUACUGAGGGAGUCCAUGCUUCCAGGGCACAUCGCUACCAAUUCCCCGAGUUCGGCCAGGAUGUUCUUUGGUUCCGAGCGCCUUUGUGAGGAUGUCAUCUUCGCGCCUCUUCGGCGCGGACUCAACCUCGCUUUGUGAAGCUUGUUCAGCAACCAAGCCCAACUAGAAAAGAAGAUAGUCGUUUAUACGAACUUGUACUUUAUACGAACGGAAAUUAGUUAGGUUAAGUAGUGAACUCACCAGUUCCUGAUAGACGACGGCAUCACUUUUGUUCUCAAAUGUGACAGAGCCGUCCGGGUUGACCUUACCCCUUGCCCGCGCCCAGUUGCGAGCUCUUUGUUCAGGGAUGUCUGAAAACGGGGCAGGUACAUUCGCUGCUGCAGCGGCUGCAUCUUCUUGGGCCCAUAUUGCCUCCUUGCCGAUGUACCCUGCGGUGCCCAGCCGAUGCGGGUGCUCAUUCCGCUGUUGCAGUACGCGAUGUGCCUCGCUGGAUUCCCUAAACUCUUGGGUGGUCUUGAGAGAGCAGAAUUCCUCCCACACCGCUUCAGUUAUUUGAGGGUAUUCAUCGAACGGCGUAUGAUUGCCGGGCGGGUUGACAUACUCGGUGAAGAGCUUCGACUUCCAAUUCUUCCAAGCUUUGCCCAUCUUUUGGAAUGCCUUCCGCUUGAGCCUAUCCUUUGCUUCGGCUGGAAAUGUGAACCAUUUCUCCAUUGCCGUCCAAGCUCGCUCUUUCUCGGCUUCUGUGACCUUCCCGAUAUCUUUAUGGAGGAUCCCGAAGUUCUCACGUGCCGCUAUCCCGCAGCAGUUAGACCAUCUUCCAAUGACAUUCCUGGGCGCCGUGGGCCUACCACUAGCGUCAACCUCUCUUAUAACUUGCACUGUGGUCGGCCAUAUAUUUUGUGACCGCGGAUUUCUACUAGACCUACUUGCACUUGUCUCGCCCGACAUCGACGUAUGUUGUUCCUGCGGCAAUUCUGCAGCACAAACAGAAGGCAAUAUUUGCUAAGGGGUGCUAGCUAAAAUUUAUGUGGUUAUGUGGUGAAAAUUUAUCCUAUAAAUUACCAUGAAUUUCGGGUUGUUGGACCGCCGUUGUCGCGGGAUGACCUUCGGCAACUGCCUCUGUGGCUGGGUUUGCUUCUUCCUGGAUCCUCGCAGGUGUUGGGGAGGGCGGGUUUGCGCCGGGCGUUGACAUGGUUUAACUUUCACGAAAAAGAUUAUAAAUUUCCUACCAUUAGACUAAAUAGCAUUAGAUCCAAUGUAAUACGGGGUAUACUAUGAAAGAUAUGGCCUCAGUUUUGCUGAGAAAUAUGCAUCAAUUACAAUCAUUUGCAUGAAGGGAUAAAAAGAGAAAAUCAUAACAUCAAAAGAGCAAGUGCAGAAAAUCUGUUCUUAUGCAUAAAAAAAGAACAAGUGUAGAGGUAUAUAACCACUGAAUCAAUCAUGCAAAUUUAAAAAACAGCAGCAGCAAGGGUACAGAAUUUGCAUGAUUGACAUAAAACAGCAGCAGGAGGAGUAUAUAUGCCACAGGGGUAGCAACAGCAGGGGCAAAUUAACUAAAACAACAUGUCUAGAUAUACUCCUCUUAUCAAUCCAGAAGAAAAGAGCAAGUGCAGAAAAUCUGUUCUUAUGCAUAAAAAAAGAGCAAGUGCAGAAAAUCUGUUCUUAUGCAUAAAAAAAGAACAAGUGUAGAGGUAUAUAACCACUGAAUCAAUCAUGCAAAUUUAAAAAACAGCAGCAGCAAGGGUACAGAAUUUGCAUGAUUGACAUAAAACAGCAGCAGGAGGAGUAUAUAUGCCACAGGGGUAGCAACAGCAGUGGUAUAUAAAUGAACAAGUGUAGGGGCAAAAAAAUGAACAAGUGUAGAUAAUCUGUUCUUAUUGAGCAAUUCAUCACUGGCCAUUUAAUAAGGAACACAUUGGGCAGCAGCAGCAAGGGUAUAUAAAUCAUCAAAGAAUGACAGAAAACAAGUGUAUAUAGUCUCCUCUUAUCAAUCCAGAAAAAAGAGCAAGUGCAGAAAAUCUGUUCUUGUGCAUAAAAAAAAAACAAGUGUAGAUAAUUUGUUCUUAUUGAGCAAUUCAUCACUGGCCAUUUAACAAGGAACACAUUGGGCAGCAGCAACAGGGGCAAAGAUACUCACAAGGGCAGCAACAAUAGGGGUGUAUUAACAUAAAACAUCACUGGCCAUUUAUCUAGUUAAAAUCAUGCAAAAUUCAACCAAUGCAGCAAAAUUAAUCCUAAAAUCAUCUAAUACAAAAAGACUAAUUCAUCUAAUACUGCAUAUAUUUCAUCCACAAAUAGUCCAAAUUCAUCACCUCAUAUAUUUCACAUCUCAAAUAUGCAUAUAUUUCAUCAAAAAAAAUGAGACAGUACUACUAACUUCAUGUAAACAGCAAUUCAUCCAUUCAAUUCAAUCAAGUGUAGAUAAUAAAACAGCCCACAAUCAUUUAUGUGGCAGCAGCAUCAAGGGUAUAUAAAUCAUGUAUAUAAAGAACAAUUCAUGCAAUUCACCUAUUCAUAGACAAAAAGGGUAUAUAAAUCCACAAGUUUAGAUAAUCUGCAAAGUUCCUUAAUCAUCAAAGAAUGACAGAAAACAAAAUGCAUGGAGAAUUUUGGUGUCUAGGUCGGUUCCGUCCAUGGACUACACUGACCAAUCCACCAAAAUUCCCCAUGCAUUUUGUAUUCUGUGAUGGUUUGAUAACCUCGGAACAACAUUAAAUCUGCGGCCAAUCAAUCAAUUCUUCCAUUUGAACUAAAUUUCAAACCCUAAACCUAAUAAAGUUCCUUAAUUAUUAAAGAAUGACAGAAAACAAUAUGCAUGAAAAAUUUUGGUGACUAGGUCGGUUCCGUCCAUGGACUACACUAACCAAUCCACCAAAACUCCCCAUGCAUUUUGUAUUUUCCAUUUGAACUAAAUUUCAAACCCUGUAUAUGCUUUAUUUAUAGGAAAAGGGAACAUAACCCCUAACACUGUUGCCAAUCUAUCAAUCCAUCCUUUUUCAGCUAAAUGCAAACAUUAUCCCCAAAAUUCAAUAGUUCUAGCAAAAGGGAACAAAACAACAUAUAAAGCAGUACACACUCCAUGAAUGGUUACAUGUCAAAAUGGCACUUAAAUCAUUCAUUCAUCCAUUCCAUUGCAUCAUUCAUCCAAAGUUCAUCAUUCAUUCAUCCAUUCCAUUGCAUCAUUUAUUCAUCCAUCCACUGCACCAUUCCAUUCAUGGGCCUCAGAGAGAGAGGGGUACCUGGAGAGGAGACGACGAGCAGAGGAGGCGGCACACGGCGACGACGCACGGCUUCUCAGCACGGCGGCGUGGCGGCGGCUUCUUGGCACGGCGGCGCUGAGGAGGAGAAGAGGGGGUUAAUCGGCAGAGGAGGCGGCACACGGCGACGACGAGGCCCGGCAGGCGCACGGCGCACGGCUUCUCAGCACGGCGGCGCGGCGGCGGCUUCUUGGCACGGCGGCGCUGAGGAGGAGAAGAGGGGGUUAAUCGGCAGAGGAGGCGGCACACGGCGACGACGAGGCCCGGCAGGCGCACGGCGCACGGCUUCUCAGCACGGCGGCGCGGCGGCGGCUUCUUGGCACGGCGGCGCUGAGGAGGAGAAGAGGGGGUUAAUCGGCGACCAAUAGUAAACGAGGGGAGGCGGGGGGAGUGGGCUCACCGUGGAGGUCCCGGUCGAGAGGAGGAGGCGGCGGAGAGGAGAUCCCGGUGGCGGCGACGACGGUCCUGGCGUGGCGACUGAGAGGAGGUCCCGGCGGCCGUCGAGAGAGUGAGUGAGGCGGCAGCGGUGGGGAGGUCGAGGCGGCGGUGGGGAGGGCGGCGUAGAGGGCGGAGAUGGCGGUAGAGAGGGCGGCGGCAGAGAUGGUGGCGGAGAGGUCGAGGUCGAGGCGGUGGAGAGGAGGGCGUAGAGGGUGGCGGAGAGGGCGGAGAGGGCGGCGGAUUUGGCGGCGGCGAGGGCGGUGGUGGAGAGGAGGGCGCGUAGAGGGCGGCAGAGAGGUCGAGAGAGGCGAGGCGGCGGUCGAGAGAGUGAGUGAGUGAGAGUGGGCGCCGGAUCUGGAUCGAUCUAGAAGAUGUCCAACCCUAGGUCAACCCUAGUCAAACUCACCUGUGACGGGCUCCAACUAUGUGGCCGUCACAGGUGGCCUCACCUGUGACGGGCGCCAACCGUGGAGCCGUCACAGGUAAGACCACCUGUGACGGGCCCAACACUCUGGGCCGUCACAGGUGAGGUCACCUGUGACGGCCCUACAGAUAGAGCCCGUCACAGGUGAGUUUGCCUAGAGCAAUUUUAUUUUAUUUUAUUUCACUUAGUUCUUUUAUUUUCCUUAACAUAUUUUCACAUACACUACAUAUUUUUUUAUACUUAAUUAUUUUAUUUCACUAACAGUAGUAAUUGCACUUCAUUAUUAUACUACUUUAAUUAUAUUAUUUCCAAUGCUUAUACUUGCUUAAUUAUUUUAUUUCACUUCUAGUGGGUGCUUCACUUAAUUAUUUUAUUUGACUAUUUCAUAAGCAAUAUACUAUUGAUCAUUGCGAACAUAUUAGAGUCAUACAGAUAACAGACAUGUAGACAUAAACUACGUACAUAAAUUACAAAAAUAAUCCUUCCUCAUGGUCGACACGUGCAUAUUGAACUUCAUCUUCUUCCUCCUCCUCUUCUAGAGGUAUUUCUUGACCUAUGCCGUGGACGUGCUGGUUGUAAUCAUCCUCGUCUGCAAUAUUGUCCAAUCCAACAAUUCUCCUUUUCCCUUCACGAACAACAUGUAGUUUCUUUUUACACGGGUCAACUAUGUAGAACACUUGAACAACUUGUUUGGCGAGAACGAACGGUUCAUCCUUGUACGCGUUGUUAGCCAAGUUGACAGUGGUGAAACCUUCAUUGUCAACUUUUACAUUGCGAAGAUCGACCCAUCGACAACGAAACAACGGGACUUUGAACUUCAAGUAAUCUAGCUCCAAUAUUUGCUCAACUCUACCAUAGUAUUGAUCACGACGACCACCGUCACUAGCAGCCUCGAUGCGUAACCCACUGUUCUGCACUGUGCAUUUGCUGUCUUGCUUGACCGUGUGAAAGGUGUAUCCAUUUAUGUCAUAUCCUUGCCAGGUGGUGGCACUCCAUUCAGGACCCUGUGACAACCACUGAAGUGUUUCACUAGGCAAGUUCUGCAACCUGGCAAUUCGGUUCUUCAGCCACUCGUUGAAAGAAGACAUGUGCUUAUUCCUGACCCAACUCUCUGAUCGGCCUGGGUUCUCUUGUCGGAUAACUGCAAGGUGUUCGUCAACGUACGGCACCACCUCAGUCAUAUGCUGUAGUACCGUGAAAUGAGCUUUAUCGUACACCUUACGAUCCAACCUAAUAGUCUUUCUUCCAACAGUACCAACACCGUCAAGCCUCCCUUCGUGAUGAGAUCGUGGUAAUCCAAUUGAAGAUGUUUCUGACAUGUAGUCCACACAAAAUUCGAUGGCCUCUUCGGUGGUGUAACUCUCGAUGAUACUCCCCUCGGGGUGUGAACGGUUCCGUACAUAACCCUUAAGGAUCCCCAGGUACCUUUCGCAAGGAUACAUCUGCGUCAUGAAUGCUGGACCACAGCACUUUGUUUGCCUCACAAGGUGCACCGGAAGAUGUUCCAUUAUGUCAAAGAAAGUUGGAGGAAAGUACAUCUCAAGAUGACAUAGGGUUCUCACAAGUUCUGCCUGUAGUUCAUCUAGUCCCUCGGGAUCAAUGAUCUUCUGGCCGAUUGCAUGGAAGAAGGAACACAACCGCUGGAUCGUGUGUCGCACCUUAGGAGGCAAGAUAUUCCUUAUUGCAACGGGCAACAGCUGUGUGAUAAGAACGUGGCAAUCAUGCGACUUCAUUCCAACCAACUUAAGAUCUUGCAGUGAAACGAGCCUACUGAUUCUUGAUGAGUAACCAGAUGGAACCUUUAUACCACUCAAACAUGUUAGCAAAUCAAUCUUCUCUUCUUUCGAGAGAGUGUAGCAGGCUGGAGGAAGGUAAACCCUGCCGGAUUCCGUGGUUAUGGGAUGUAGCUCCGACCGAACACCCAUAUCUUCCAGAUCUCGUCGGGCGUUGAGACCAUCCUUUGUAGUACCUGGGUUAAGUAGUAAUCCCAUUAAACUCUCGCAUACAUUCUUCUCGACAUGCAUCAAAUCUAUGCAGUGGCGAACUUCAAGAUCCUUCCAGUAUGGUAGUCUCCAGAAUAUUGACUUCUUUUUCCACAUGCUCCUCUCUUUUGUCUUUUGUUUUUCCACAUGCUCCUCUGUUUUUUCCUUCGAUGUGCUCUUCUCUUUUCGCUUUCCAACUUUCCUCUUUUUUCCAAACUCGUUGGUUAUUCCCAUCACUAAGUUGUGCACCUCUGUCCUUGUUAGCUCUGUCGGGGGUCCGGCUGUAUCUCUGUGUCCAUUGAAAUUCUUUCUCAUAUUCCUAUACGGGUGAUACCUUGGGAGAAAUCUCCUGUGACCCAUGUAGACCGUCUUGUGUGAAUGCUUCAACCAUUUGCUUCUUGUUUCCUCCAUACACUCCGAACACGCCCAUUUCCCUUUCACAGUUUGGCCAGAAAGGUUGCCAAGGGCCGGAUAAUCGUUGAUGGUACAAAACAGCAUCGCAUGGAGGUUGAAAUACUCUUGUGCAUAUGCGUCCCAUGUUCGUGUGCCCUCAUUCCAUAGCCUUUCGAAGUCAUCGAUUAUCGGUUCAAGGAACACAUCGAUAUCGUUGCCAGGUUGUCUCGGUCCUUGAAUGAGCAUGGCAAGCAUAAUGUACUUUCUUUUGAAACACAACCAGGGAGGAAGGUUAUAGUUAACAAGUAGAACUGGCCAUGUACUGUGACGACUGCUCAAAUCACCAAAAGGAUUAAUGCCGUCCGUACACAUUGCGAAACGCAUGUUUCUUGGGUCAUUUGAGAAUUCCUGGUAAAUCCUAUCGAUUGUCCUCCACUGUACUGAAUCUGCUGGGUGCCUCAGCAUAGUAUCGACUUUCCGUUCUUCGGCAUGCCAGCGCACAAGCUUAGCUUGUUCCUUGUUCGCAAACAUUCUCUUCAUGCGCUCCGCAAUUGGGAGAUACCACACCACCUUUGCUGGGCCUCCCCUCUUUGACUUACUUCCUUCACCUUCACUCUUUGCUCGUUUGUAUCUUGAUGCCCCACAGAUAGGGCAGACAUCCAAGUCAGCGUAUUCCUUGUAAUACAAAAUGCAGUCGUUCGGACAUGCAUGAAUUCUUCUGACCUCCAGGCCCAACGGACAUAAUACUUGCUUCGCUUCAUAUGUCGUCUGAGGUAAAUUGUUCCCCUCUGGCAACAGAUCCUUUAACAGCUCAAGGAGUUCUGUAAAACUCUUGUCCGACCAGCCAUUACUAGCCUUAAGCUUCAUGAGUUCCAACACGCAUGACAACUUGCUGUGCUUCGACUUGCAUUCAUCAUACAACGGCAUCUGGCAAUCUUCCACCAACUUACUAAACUUCUCAUAAUCUCUGUCGUUGUCCUCUGCGUCUUCAAUGUCAUGCAACAUUGUAGAUAGACAUUGAGUGUCCAAAUCUAUGGUCUCUCCACCUAAAGGAGAAGGUACGAACAUGCCUUCUCGAGCUGCGGCGGUGUUCUCUACAUCCUGAUCUAACACUUCUUCAGCUGCGACAUCAGGCGCCUCUUGCUCUCCAUGCUUGGUCCAGCAGGUAUAUUUCUUCAUGAAUCCAUUCAUUAUCAAAUGAGCAUGCACUUCAUCCUUGUCUUCGAUCAUCUGUUCAUUCUUACAGUCCCUACAUGGGCACAACAUGUGCAUGCUCAUCCUACUUUUUCUGUCAUUAUCCGCAAAUGUGACAAAUUCAGUGACCCCCUCUCUAUACUCGGUAGACGAACGAUGCGCAUAGUACAUCCAUCUACGAUCCAUCUGAAAUCAACAACAUACGAAGAAAAAUAAAUGAUGAUCGAUAUGUUGAGAAUGAAUGGAGAAUAAUGUGUUUUUUACCUUAAAUUUUAGCAAAAAAUCGCCCCCCUUGCCCUCCCAACCGAUUUGUGAACAGUACAAUGGUCGGGAUGGAAAGCAGUUGGCAGUUUGGGGGUAUUUAUAGAGCCAACACACCUCAAACGGGUUAGAUAAAAAAAGCCCGUCAAAGGUAUUGCUCAUACCUUUGACGGGCUUCUAUUCAAUGGCCCGUCACUGGUAUCCGCUCACCUGUGACGGGCCACAAAUGAAAGCCGUCACAGGUGGCGGCCCAUCACCUCUGACGGCUUCUAAUGUAUCGGCCCGUCACAGGUGAGGGGAUACCAGUGACGGGUUGGAAGAAAAACUCGUCACUGGUAUACCUCUGACGGGUUUUCCUUUCGGCCCGUCACAGGUGAGCGGAUACCUGUGACGGGCCGCGGCCAGAUGCCUCACCGGUGACGGCAUCCCGUAUAACCCGUCAAAGGUAACGGUCACUACUGACCAAUUCGUUUGCCUGUCACAGGUAUCCCGUCAGAGGUGUGAGGAUCUGGCGUAGUGUCAGUUGUUUUUAUCAAUUUGAUGAUAUUUUUCAGCACAAUGUGUGUGAUUAAUAUGUCAUAAUUUCUGCAGAACAAGGCAGAGUGAGGCAAUACAAAGAAAAACUUUUUCAGCUUGUGAUGAUAUUUUCAGCACAAUGUGUGAUCGAUAUGUCAUAACUUCUGCAGAACAAGGUAGAGUGAGGCACAUUCUUCUCGGACAGAGAAUAUAUAGAAGAGUGGCAAGACAAAGAAAAACUCUACAUGUCUAUUCCAGUGACUUCUGAAUAUUCACUGUUAUAUGUUCUCGCUUUGUUCACCUAUAAAUCAGCAUCUUAUAUUAUCUUUGGUGCAGUUAAAACCCGUCAUGCUAACAAGGUUAUGGCGUCGCAAAAUAUUGAAAAGAGAAGUUUGUGGUUCUGAAAGUGUCGAUCUGUGUAUAUCAUAGCUUUUUUGGCUGAAUGUAUACUACUUGUUAUUGCAAUUGUGAAGUCCCUAUAAAAAAACAUACCGGU